AUGCUUGAGAAGGAGGAGGCGGUGGAAGGAGAGGAGAAGGAAGAGGAGAAUGGCACUAAUAUCAACCUUAUGUCCCAUCACACACACACACACACACACACAAUGCCAACUUUUCCUAACAGAGAAGCUUGCAUGAUUAAAGGGCACACCUUUUUGAUCACACUCUGUUUCAAGUUUCCAUCUGUGAAAUGCUGGCAGGAUGGAAGAGGUAUGUUUACCACUCCCUGAAAAUUAUUUCCUACUGCUGGACCUUGUUAUCACUGUAGUCUACAUAGUGUGUAACACAUUCAUAUCACUAAAGACAUCUUAAAUCAUUGUGAGAGUAGCAACAGAAAGAAGAGCUGGAAUAAUUCUUUCCAACCAAAAGAACGAUUCCUCUAUGCUACUUAAUUCAUGAUUACUGAACGGAUGAACUUGGGAGCCCUUUGGAUCUUUCCGUUUGCAUGGAUGAGCACAAGGAGACAUUCAUUCUUGCGCAUCCAGAGGAUGGUGCUAACGUUGAGCAUUUGUUAGCUAAAGGGCAAUCUUCAUUAGCCAUGGUAUCAUUAGGAUUUAAAUUAUAUCCUCUAUGGCCUGCAGCCAGCAGAAAGGGAUAAUCCAUACACACUACUGCUGUAUGUUAGAUCAGAGUCACAUAACGGUAAUACUUUGUAGAAAUUCCAGAGAAGUAAACUGACUUCCAUUAGUUUCCCACGCACAUGAGGGUUUUGUUCAAAAAGGAGGAUUAUUCCUGCCACACACCAACAAAGAUGGGUCAGCGGUUUUAGCCUUCCAACUGGAAAAAUAUCACCCCAUUGCUCUUUCCUCCAAACAAUUCUCCUAGACGAUUAGGUUCUACGUUUCAUGUGCAUUUUUAUGUUGGAUAUACCUAGACAGACCUUCCUGACCAACUGCUAUGGGUCAGCACACAGCCAAAAGUGUUGGAGCAGGGAGGUAUAAUUUACAGUGGUAUAAAACAAUAACAACAUAUUACUCUCCCUUCACUAUGUUAGAAUCAACUCUUAUAAGCUCUGCCUUCACUUGAGAGGUACAAGUUUUUUUUGGAUUUUUUCAAUUCAGUCUCCCUGCAGCUUCUACAAAUAAAAACUGGAUGAAGCUGCUUUAGUAACAUGCUGAAAGUUUUCAGCUGAGAAUUUCCAGCUCAGACUCGUAGGGUGAGGGGAGUCGGGGUGAAAAGGUGAGUGAAAUAAAGCUGCUUUAUUUUCUACAGCACGGAAAGCUUUCCUGGUGGCUGCUGCCCCCUGCUCCCAGUAUCUGGGAAGUUAAAAAACAAAUUACAUUAUGCAUGACAUUCUGGUUGGAUAGUUUAAUUCAUCAUUAAAUAAUAAUAAUAAUAAUAAUAAUAAUAAUAAUAAUAAUAACAACAACAACAACAACAACAGCAAAAGGCCACCCUACUGGGAUCUGCGCACAUCAUCCGAAAAUACAUCACACAGUCCUAGACACUUGGGAAGUAUUCGACUUGUGAUUUUGUGAAACGAAAUCCAGCAUAUCUAUCUUGUUUGCUGUGUUAUAAAAUAAUAAUAAUAAUAAUAAUAAUAAUAAUAAUAAUAAUAAUAAUAAUACUGUAUUCUGUUUAAUCUAUGUUUUAAGAUAGAGCUUCUUAAUCUCUUUCCACUCAUAAUUCCUUUCCACUUUAGAAAUGUUUACGUGACCUCAGGUAUACAGGUAUUUAAAGAGGUAUAAAAAUCAAACAUUUACUGAUCAGUAAUGGCACUCCAUGCAGUCAUUCCGGCCACAUGACCUUGGAGGUGUCUACGGACAACACCGGCUCUUCGGCUUAGAAAUGGAGAUAAGCACCAACCCCCAGAGUCACGUCAGGGGAAACCUUUACCUUUUUACUGAUCAAUAAAUCAGCAUUGGCAAGUCUUGCUAAACAGGCUGAUUUUCCUUUUUGUGGAGUACAGCUAAAGCAUUUUCUGCAGAGACAACUGUAAACACUGCACAUUGUUGCUAACACGUAAAUGGGUGGAUUCAGGAAACUUUUGCUGGUGCCAAAUUUUUCAUGACUCCAACAUUGAGCAACAUUGUAGGGAGGGACUCAUAGAAGCUGUUUUAAGACACCUUGCACCUUGUAAGCUACUAAACAAGGAAGCCAAUGACAUUCCAUGACUAUUGUUACAGGCCGGUAUCAAACACAUUUUUCCAUUGAGAGGAAUGUCUUUCAAUCACUGGAAAUAGGUUCAUUUUGCAGCUCCAGGAUUGUACUAAAACGGUUUUAUAAAUCUGAGAAACUACAAAAUUCUUUCAGCUAGUACUAGACAUUGACACUACUAAUUUCAGACUUUUGGUGAGAACCACUUUCCAAGUCUGCCUGGGAGUUGUCCAGGUUUGGCUUCCUGAAGUGGCUUUAAAAAGGGUCACAUCAAAACAAAGGAGUGUUUUUGUGAAUUGUUUUUUUUUAAAGGAUUUUCCAGCUGUUACCAAUCAAAGAAUUUAAUGAAUAUGAGGCUAAUUUAGAACUAUCUGUUACUUUCUUUAAAACAGAUUUCUUUAUUAAAUUGACGAAUUUCAAAUUCUGUUCAUAGUUAUGUCACAAAACACAAGCAUUUGGAAGAGACCUCUCACAUUUCUGAUUUUUUCUCUUUCUUUUAAAUUAAGAUACAUCCUGCCAUAGCUUUGAAUAGUAGGUGAGUUUCUUGGACUUAUACUGAGCGGCUUUAUUUUGUACCCUUGACUGUUAUAUGAAGCUAACACUAGAGCUUGGUGAUAUUUUUAGACUAUGCAUCUCUCAGAAUCCUCCAGUUGGUUAUCAUAGCCAUUGGCCACAUUGAAAGAUGUCCUCAAAACAAAGUCUUCCACAUUAUACUCAGCAUUUGGCUCCUUUGCAGUAGCAGCUAUUUACACCAUCAUUGGAAACAUUGUAGACAAGGCCCCCUGAAAACCACACAAUCAUCCUCCAGCUAGACACACGGCACUUUCUGUUGUUCUUUAGGACUACCGAGUACAACGUCAGUAUUAAUUCCAGCCCUGGCAACUAAAAAAGAACAGCAGUCAAAGGUCUCUCACAAACCAGGGUCUCAAGUAUGGGAGUACACAGUGCUACUCACUAAAGCAUUAAGCCAGCAGCAAGAAUACCUUUGUUAAUUUUAGUAAAAGGAAAAGCUUCUCUUGCUUGAACAGGUAGGUAAUCCUCUUUGAUGGCUUUCAAAAUAGGGAUAAGCUUAACAAUCCAUGUGGAGGAGUUUGCACUUUGACUUCUUCUCCCUUGUGCUGACCUAUAUUUGUAAUAUGCAGAGAUGUAAUACAGCUAUAUAUCAAGACCUUGCUGUGAUGAAAAUGUUACCUCUUCCGCAUGAACAUUGGGUGAGGUCCUGUUCAUAUUAAGCUUUUGAAAACAUCACUUCAAUCAGCAGGAGAAUUAAGAAAUGUUCACCUCUUCUCUAUUUAAAUCAAUGAGGCUUUAAAACACUUCAUGUUGUCUCAGUUGAGUAUGAAUGGCUGCAGUCCAGAUGAUUAAGCCAGGCUCUACACUGAAAUUAAUGCAGUUUGACACC
rnacentral:lncRNA from 1 species